AAUGGGCAGCCACCCACCAUAGCCAAUGAAAAAAGGAGGCAGCCACCCCUCUCCCUCUAUAAAUUGGCCCUAGCCGGCCACCACCUCCCCUUUGGCUUCAUUUCCUUCACUCUCCACUCCCCCACACUCUCCCCCUACCUCUCCCCACGAGCUGCUGCCCCUCCCAAGCUUCAUGGCCGGCCAUGGCCAUGGAAGGCACUCCAAGAUGAAGCUCCCUCCUCCCUCAAGCUCCUCCUCACCAUGAGAGCCUCCCUCUCCUUCUUCUCCCCAACCCUAGAUGGUUUUCUCUCCUCUUCCUCUUCCUCCAUUGCUAAGAUUGGAUCUUGAUGCAGGUGCAUGUUGGUCCAAGCAUGGAGAAGCUUGAGCUAUCCUCAGAUCUGAAGUUCUUGAGCAAAAUCCAAAUCGAGUGAUUCAAAGUUCCGCAGAUAGAUACGGAAAAUAUCUACAACUUGGCGUUGGUCUCAUCCUCAAAUUUGUUACGGAUUGUCCGUGGUGAAAGCCCUCUUCAAUACCUUCAUUUUGGCAGUGGUUUCACUUCGAUUGACCUCCUGAAACUGAAAUGGUUCACAUAUCAAGAUCUGGUCAGAUCUGGCUUUGUCGAAUUAAACCAGGAGCUUGGAAACGAAUUUUGGAGUGAAACAAGUUGGGGGGUACUUAGCUUGUUCCAUGGUGGUACCUAGAGAGGCAAUUGCUAAGUCGUGGCACUCUCAUACCUUUACUAGAUGCGAACAAUUCCGGAGAAGAAGAAGAAGUGGAAUCGGAUGAGAAGAUUAUUUAUAUUGUUGGAAUUCUUAUAUUGAUGGAAUUGAAGAAGUACAGGGACAAAUAAGCCAA